rnacentral:rRNA from 1 species
AACGCCUCUAAGUCAGAAUCCAUGCUGGAAAGCGACGAUAUUCGCCUCGACCGAUGUUUUCGGUAACGAUAGCGCCUUGUGCGUCAACAUCAUAGACUAGCGGCACUGCCUCUUAAACUGGCACGUACGCUGAAACACAAUUUCCAAUGUUGGUCGAGUUAAAUCCUUUGUAGACGACUUAAAUAUGGAACGGGGUACUGUAAGCAUGAGAGUAGCCUUUGUGCUACGAUCUGCUGAGGUUCAGCCUCUUG